CAAUAGCGUAUAUUAAAGUUGUUGCAGUUAAAAAGCUCGUAGUUGGAUUUCUGGCAGGAGCGUCCGGUCUCACACUCAGUGCGGGAACUUGGAUGUCUCUGGCCAUCUUUGGGGAUAUCCUGUUUGGCAUUAAGUUGUCGGGCAGAGGAUCCUCAUCGUUUACUGUGAAAAAAUUAGAGUGUUCAAAGCAGGCUUAUGCCGUUGAAUAUAUUAGCAUGGAAUAAUAAGAUAGGACUUUGGUACUAUUUUGUUGGUUUGCGCACCAAAGUAAUGAUUAAUAGGGACAGUUGGGGGUAUUCGUAUUCCGUUGUCAGAGGUGAAAUUCUUGGAUUUACGGAAGACGAACUACUGCGAAAGCAUUUACCAAGGAUGUUUUCAUUAA
rnacentral:rRNA from 1 species